UCGAGAAUCUUCGGCAAUGGACGCAAGUCUGACCGAGCGAUGCCGCGUGCGGGAUGAAGGCCUUCGGGUUGUAAACCGCUGUCAGUUGGGAGGAAAUCUAUGGGGGUUAUCCCCUGUAGUUGACCUAUCUUCAGAGGAAGUACGGGCUAAGUUCGUGCCAGCAGCCGCGGUAAGACGAACCGUACGAACGUUAUUCGGAAUCACUGGGCUUAAAGGGUGCGUAGGCGGCUUGGCAAGUUGGGUGUGAAAUCCCUCGGCUCAACCGAGGAAUUGCGCUCAAAACUGCCAGGCUAGAGGGAGAUAGAGGUGAGCGGAACUUAUGGUGGAGCGGUGAAAUGCGUUGAUAUCAUAAGGAACACCUGUGGCGAAAGCGGCUCACUGGAUCUCUUCUGACGCUGAGGCACGAAAGCUAGGGGAGCGAACGGGAUUAGAUACCCCCGUAGUCC
rnacentral:rRNA from 1 species